GCUCUGGUGGCCUAAGUGGUUAGAGUGUCCGUCUCGAAUGCGGAAGGUCGUGGCUCAAACCCAGGCAGAGUCA